UGGGGAAUAUUGGACAAUGGGGGCAACCCUGAUCCAGCCAUGCCGCGUGCGUGAAGAAGGCCUUAGGGUUGUAAAGCGCUUUCAGCGGGGACGAUGAUGACGGUACCCGCAGAAGAAGCCCCGGCUAACUCCGUGCCAGCAGCCGCGGUAAUACGGAGGGGGCAAGCGUUGUUCGGAAUUACUGGGCGUAAAGGGCGCGUAGGCGGCAUAUCAAGUCAGAGGUGAAAGCCCCGGGCUCAACCUGGGUAUUGCCUUUGAAACUGAUAAGCUAGAGUCCGGAAGAGGAUAGCGUAAUUCCCAGUGUAGAGGUGAAAUUCGUAGAUAUUAGGAAGAACACCAGUGGCGAAGGCGGCUCACUGGCCCGGUACUGACGCUCAGGUGCGAAAGCGUGGGGAGCAAACAGGAUUAGAUACCCCCGUAGUCC
rnacentral:rRNA from 1 species